rnacentral:rRNA from 1 species
AUUGAACGCUGGCGGCAUGCCUUACACAUGCAAGUCGAACGGCAGCACGGGUGCUUGCACCUGGUGGCGAGUGGCGAACGGGUGUGUAAUACAUCGGAACGUACCUUAUCGUGGGGGAUAACGCAGCGAAAGCUGUGCUAAUACCGCAUACGCCCUGAGGGGGAAAGCGGGGGAUCGCAAGACCUCGCGCGAUUAGAGCGGCCGAUGCCUGAUUAGCUUGUUGGUGGGGUAAAAGCCCACCAAGGCGACGAUCAGUAGCUGGUCUGAGAGGACGGUCAGCCACACUGGGACUGAGACACGGCCCAGACUCCUACGGGAGGCAGCAGUGGGGAAUUUUGGACAAUGGGGGCAACCCUGAUCCAGCAAUGCCGCGUGAGUGAAGAAGGCCUUCGGGUUGUAAAGCUCUUUUGUCAGGGAAGAAACACCGGCUCUAACACAGUCUGGGAAUGACGGUACCUGAAGAAUAAGCACCGGCUAACUACGUGCCAGCCGCCGCCGUAA